AGAUUUUGACAAAUGGCUUCUGCUGUAUUCGAUAUGGUAACAUGAUUUGCAACACAGGCCAUUGCAUUUGUGGUGAGGAGGUAACAAAAAUAUUCUGCACUAUAUGUCCUGCUAGUCCAUUUCUGGAAAAUGUGUGGAAUAGUUUUCCCCCUCUGUUUUUUAGAGGAUAAGAAACAGGGGGUCUAGUUGACGAAAAAUGGAAUAUUUGCUUGCUAGGACUAAUAUGGAAAUUACUCAGAGUGUGGUCACCCUUGUCUUGGCUGCGGCAAGACAGCAAUAAAAUUAUUUUGUGACAUAGGUAGCAGAUUGUAAGUAGGAUAAUGUAUCAUUAAAAGCUAGAUACUUUAUGUAUUUUCAUAUUUUAAGCUGCUGUCAUUAUGCUAUAUUUACAUUUGAACGGAGCUUUCAAUAUAUGCAACUCCUACCAGACUUGCAUUUAAGAUAAUUCCACUGAAAACAAUGGGAUUUGCUUAUAAGCUGCCCAGAGUGGCUGGUGAAACUCAGCAGGAUGGGCAGGGUAUAAAUAAUAAUAAUAAAAAUAUUCUUAUUACUUGUGACUAAACAUGCACAUGACUGCACUAUACUGAGCUGACAUUUCUUGGACUUGAUCCUCUCAGUGAUGCUUCUGACCCAAUCCAGACCAUCUUUGACUUGAAAUACCUGAAAUUGAAAUCUUUGACUUGAAAUACUACGAAAUUGAUGAAAUACCCAGCGGUGCCUGUGAAGAGUGUCACAGUUGCUUCAGUGAAAAAGGGAACGUGCUUCAGAUGGAAGUAGGAUAUGGAAAGUUGCUUAAAUUUUGUUAUCCCUAUUGUGUGAUC